GGAGACGUUAAUGGCUCUUGAGGCAGAUUGGGGACCGCUGGCGAGCAGCUAAGCUGGUCAGAAACACACUGAGCCUGCGGUUUGGAUAUUAAACUUACGACCCGGGGCGUUACAUCCCAGAGGUUCCCCUGUAGGAAUUAAAAGUAAUAAACUGCGCCACCAGCAGCUGCAGUGAAGCCAAUAAAGAAGAAGAUGGUCCCCACAGUCAUCUUCAGGCUCUCUUUCAGGCUGCUGUGGUCCACCCUGCAGCUCACCCUCUCACCUCUUCUGGGUGUGAACUCCAGGUAAGAGUGAAGCUGGAAGCUCCAGUCCCCGUUGGCCAGGACAUCUGUAGACGACACGUCGGUGGUGA